rnacentral:rRNA from 1 species
AUUAGAGUUUGAUCCUGGCUCAGAUUGAACGCUGGCGGCAUGCCUUACACAUGCAAGUCGAACGGCAGCAUGAUCUAGCUUGCUAGAUUGAUGGCGAGUGGCGAACGGGUGAGUAAUACAUCGGAACGUGCCCUGUAGUGGGGGAUAACUAGUCGAAAGAUUAGCUAAUACCGCAUACGACCUGAGGGUGAAAGUGGGGGACCGCAAGGCCUCAUGCUAUAGGAGCGGCCGAUGUCUGAUUAGCUAGUUGGUGAGGUAAAGGCUCACCAAGGCGACGAUCAGUAGCUAGUCUGAGAGGACGAUCAGCCACACUGGGACUGAGACACGGCCCAGACUCCUACGGGAGGCAGCAGUGGGGAAUUUUGGACAAUGGGCGAAAGCCUGAUCCAGCAAUGCCGCGUGUGUGAAGAAGGCCUUCGGGUUGUAAAGCACUUUUGUCCGGAAAGAAAUGGCUCUGGUUAAUACCUGGGGUCGAUGACGGUACCAGAAGAAUAAGGACCGGCUAACUACGUGCCAGCAGCCGCGGUAA